UUUUUGAUUAAUAAUUUAAAGUCUAAUCUGCCCACUGAUAAUUUAUUAAAGGGCUGCAGUAUUUUGACUGUACAAAGGUAGCAUAAUCAAUAGUCUCUUAAUUGGUGACUUGUAUGAAAGAUUUAAUGAGAUAUAUACUGUCUCUUUUUAAUUUAUAAAAUUUAAUUUUUUAGUUAAAAAGCUAAAAUAAAUUUAAAAGACGAGAAGACCCUAUAGAGUUUUAUAUUUAAAUAAAUUGAAAUUAUUUAUAAAAUUUAAAAUUUUAAUUUAUAAUAAAUAUUUUAUUGGGGUGAUAAAAAAAUUAAAAGAACUUUUUUUAUAAAUUUACAUUAAUAAAUGAAUAAAGGAUCCGUAAUUUACGAUUGAAAGAAAAAAUUACCUUAGGGAUAACAGCGUAAUUUUUUUUUUUAGUUCAAAUAAGAAAAAAAGUUUGCGACCUCGAUGUUGGAUUAAGAUAAAAUUUAAAUGCAAAAGUUUAAAAUUUUUGAUCUGUUCGAUCAUUAAAAUCUUACA
rnacentral:rRNA from 1 species